rnacentral:rRNA from 1 species
UCAGUAUCCGUCCAGAAGGCCGCCUUCGCCACCGGUGUUCCUCCACAUCUCUACGCAUUUCACCGCUACACGUGGAAUUCCGCUCUCCUCUUCUGCACUCAAGUUCCCCAGUUUCCAGUGCAUCACGGGGUUGAGCCCCGCACUUAGACACCAGACUUAAAGAACCGCCUGCGCGCGCUUUACGCCCAAUAAUUCCGGACAACGCUUGCCCCCUACGUAUUACCGCGGCUGCUGGCACGUAGUUAGCCGGGGCUUUCUUCUCAGGUACCGUCAUCGGACUAGCAGUUAACUAGCCCUUAUUCUUCCCUGGCAACAGAGCUUUACGACCCGAAGGCCUUCCUCACUCACGCGGCGUUGCUCCAUCAGGCUUUCGCCCAUUGUGGAAGAUUCCCUACUGCUGCCUCCCGUAGGAGUCUGGGCCGUGUCUCAGUCCCAGUGUGGCCGUUCACCCUCUCAGGUCGGCUACGCAUCGUCGCCUUGGUGGGCCGUUACCCCGCCAACUAGCUAAUCCGACAUGGGCUCAUCCAAUCGCGCGACGCCUUGCGGUCCGCCGCUUUCACCUCUCGGUCGUAUGCGGUAUUAGCGUAAGUUUCCCUACGUUAUCCCCCACGACAGGGUAGAUUCCCAUGUAUUCCUCACCCGUCCGCCACUCGCCACCCACAGUAUUGCUACUGCUGUGCUGCCGUUCGACUUGCAUGUGUUAGGCCUGCCGCCAGCGUUCACUCUGAGCCAGGAUCAAACUC